AGAACGAACGCUGGCGGCAUGCCUAAUACAUGCAAGUCGAACGAACUCUUCGGUGUUAGUGGCGCACGGGUGCGUAACGCGUGGGAAUCUGCCCUUGGGUUCGGAAUAACAGUUGGAAACGACUGCUAAUACCGGAUGAUGACGAAAGUCCAAAGAUUUAUCGCCCAGGGAUGAGCCCGCGUAGGAUUAGCUAGUUGGUGAGGUAAAGGCUCACCAAGGCGACGAUCCUUAGCUGGUCUGAGAGGAUGAUCAGCCACACUGGGACUGAGACACGGCCCAGACUCCUACGGGAGGCAGCAGUAGGAAUAUUGGACAAUGGGCGCAAGCCUGAUCCAGCAAUGCCGCGUGAGUGAUGAAGGCCUUAGGGUUGUAAAGCUCUUUACCCGAGAUGAUAAUGACAGUAUCGGGAGAAGUAA
rnacentral:rRNA from 1 species